rnacentral:rRNA from 1 species
UACGUAGGGGGCAAGCGUUGUCCGGAAUUAUUGGGCGUAAAGAGCGUGUAGGCGGUCCGAUAAGUCGGCUGUGAAAGUCCAGGGCUCAACCCUGGAAUGCCGGUGGAAACUGUCAGGCUCGAGUCCGGAAGAGGCGAGUGGAAUUCCUGGUGUAGCGGUGAAAUGCGCAGAUAUCAGGAGGAACACCAAUGGCGAAGGCAGCUCGCUGGGACGGUACUGACGCUGGAGACGCGAAAGCGUGGGGAGCAAACAGG